rnacentral:misc_RNA from 1 species
AGGUACUCAGCUUAUGACUCCUGAAAGGCGCAAAGCUGUCUGGGCAAUCUAUGUAUGGUGCAGAAGAACUGAUGAACUGGUAGAUGGCCCUAACUCUUCUUACAUUACACCAAAGGCACUUGAUCGAUGGGAGAAGAGAUUAGAAGAUCUCUUCGAAGGCAGGCCAUAUGAUAUGUAUGAUGCAGCCCUCUCGGACACAGUGUCAAAGUUUCCAGUAGAUAUCCAGCCAUUCAAAGACAUGAUUGAAGGAAUGAGGCUUGACCUGUGGAAAUCAAGGUAUAGGAG